rnacentral:rRNA from 1 species
CAGGACGAACGCUGGCGGCGUGCCUAAUACAUGCAAGUCGAGCGCGGGAAGCGAGCGGAUCCCUUCGGGGUGAAGCUCGUGGAACGAGCGGCGGACGGGUGAGUAACACGUGGGCAACCUGCCUGUAAGAUCGGAAUAACCCCGGGAAACCGGGGCUAAUGCCGGGUAAUACUUUCUUUCGCAUGAAGGAAAGUUGAAAGAUGGCUUCUUGCUAUCACUUACAGAUGGGCCCGCGGCGCAUUAGCUAGUUGGUGAGGUAACGGCUCACCAAGGCGACGAUGCGUAGCCGACCUGAGAGGGUGAUCGGCCACACUGGGACUGAGACACGGCCCAGACUCCUACGGGAGGCAGCAGUAGGGAAUCUUCCGCAAUGGACGAAAGUCUGACGGAGCAACGCCGCGUGAACGAUGAAGGUCUUCGGAUCGUAAAGUUCUGUUGUUAGGGAAGAACAAGUACCGUGCGAAUAGAGCG